rnacentral:lncRNA from 1 species
ACAAAAUCUGUGUUGACUUGAAGGAAUCACGCCAUUAUUCCUGAGAAGUAACUGCGUGUGCUGGAGACAUUUGAGGCAGGGUUGCACUAUCGCUUCUCGUGAGAGAGGCUGCUUAGCCCUUCCCGAUGCUGUACAGUCCUCCUACCGUAUUUCCCUCCUUGCUGUUGUAGUAGAGACACUCCAAUGAAGCUUGGCGCCGAGUGGUUGGAAGCUGCAGAAAGCGGGCCUGCGCAGUCUCCUGCGUGUGCGAGUUUGCUAAUGGCAGCUGAACACACGGCUUUUGUUGUAACCGCACCAGUUCUGAAGGCACUUUAUGUACCACAUGGAGGUCAUACCUGGCUUUGUUUUUAAUCAUAGCACUGAGUGUGAUUUCUUCUCUCGGCACACGCCUUUCCGGUGCAAUAUCUAUCGGUUGUGAAUCUGGCUGCUGGUGUCUACACCCUGGCUGUAAAGCUGAGCCUAGAGACCUGCCCUCACCAAGCGUUUUGUGAUUUCUACUCCACUGCAAAGAUUACUAGACACUUAAUCUAACCGGGUUUUGUUCCCGAUGACCUGUUGCAUGCUUCCAUACCAUGUUCUGCCCAAGCUGUGUCCGUCACGUGCUAGAUUAAAAGGGCAGAGAGACUUGAUUUGACGCCCUGACAUCUGGCUCUCCAGCUGACCCUGCUGGGGGUGGAGAGUUCUGCAGGAUUCAGGUUCUUGGCCACUCUUGAGUCCUUGUUGCAGAAUUGUGUUUUGAGAGAAUGCCUGAGGCAGGGCAAGGGGGUCUAGCAAACCCUUCUGUCCUUCUUAACCUGUGUUGUCCUAAACCCUGUGGCGGCUGUCCAGGGAAACUGGAUAUAUUGCUUGCCAGUCGUAGAUGAGACCAAAAGAAUUGUGGUUUCAGGGCCUCCACUUAGGAUCUUCCAGGUGGCUUGUGGGAAGCCACGAAUGUUUGAGGUUGAGUUGGGGCUACAGAGCCCUUGGCAUCUAAAAGAAGGUGGAGUUCUACAGAGCUGAGGGUUCCCUUCUCACGUUGAUUUUUAAAAAUCCAAUAGUGAUCAGAAAACCUAGAUAUUGAGUAAUUAGGGGAAAAAAACCAUAUUGCUCAUUAUUUUCACCUCUUGGUGGGAAUUUCUCCCUUCAGUUGAUGUAACAAGUGUCUUCUUCUCUUAGCCCCU